UACGUAGGGGGCGAGCGUUGUCCGGAUUCAUUGGGCGUAAAGAGCUCGUAGGCGGUUCGGUAAGUCGGGUGUGAAAUCUCCGUGCUCAACACGGAGCGGCCACCUGAUACUGCCGUGACUCGAGUCCGGUAGGGGAGUGUGGAAUUCCCGGUGUAGCGGUGAAAUGCGCAGAUAUCAGGAGGAACACCGGUGGCGAAGGCGGAUCUCUGGGCCAUAACUGACGCUGAGGAGCGAAAGCAUGGGGAGCGAACAGG
rnacentral:rRNA from 1 species